AGGAUGAACGCUGGCGGCGUGCCUAAUACAUGCAAGUCGAGCGGCAGCGCGAAUAGUUUACUAUUUGGCGGCGAGCGGCGGACGGCUGAGUAACGCGUAGGAACGUACCCCAAAGUGAGGGAUAAGCACCAGAAAUGGUGUCUAAUACCGCAUGUGGUCUAAGGAUUAAAGCUUCGGCGCUUUGGGAACGGCCUGCGUUUGAUUAGCUAGUUGGUGAGGUAAAAGCUUACCAAGGCGACGAUCAAUAGCUGGUCUGAGAGGAUGAUCAGCCAGACUGGGACUGAGACACGGCCCAGACUCCUACGGGAGGCAGCAGUAGGGAAUUUUCCACAAUGGGCGAAAGCCUGAUGGAGCAACGCCGCGUGCAGGAUGAAUGCCUUAGGUUGUAAACUGCUUUUAUAUGUGACGAUUAUGACGGUAGCAUAUGAAUAAGGAUCGGCUAACUCCGUGCCAGCAGCCGC
rnacentral:rRNA from 1 species